rnacentral:rRNA from 1 species
GUGAGGAAUAUUGGACAAUGGGCACAAGCCUGAUCCAGCCAUGCCGCGUGCAGGAAGACGCAUCUAUGGUGUGUAAACUGCUUUUGUACGGGAAGAAACACUCCCUCGUGAGGGAGCUUGACGGUACCGUAAGAAUAAGGAUCGGCUAACUCCGUGCCAGCAGCCGCGGUAAUACGGAGGAUCCAAGCGUUAUCCGGAAUCCUUGGGUUUAAAGGGUCCGUAGGCGGUUUAAUAAGUCAGUGGUGAAAGCCCAUCGCUCAACGAUGGAACGGCCAUUGAUACUGUUAGACUUGAAUUACAAGGAAGUAACUAGAAUAUGUAGUGUAGCGGUGAAAUGCUUAGAUAUUACAUGGAAUACCAAUUGCGAAGGCAGGUUACUACUUGUGGAUUGACGCUGAUGGACGAAAGCGUGGGGAGCGAACAGGAUUAGAAACCCCGGUAGUCC